GUCUACUCUUUCACACGCACUUCACUCACUCCUCUUGUUCCAAAAUUGAAUCUUUGAAAAAACCCAGAACUCGGAUUAAUCAAAUGAGGCUUAGAAUCAUCAUCACCAUCGCCAUGAACUGAGGAAGUUUUAUGGUUCAAGCAAAAUGCCAAUGGAUUCUUUGCUUCUGGGCUCCUUUACCACUCCUUCUAUAUAUUAGCAAAAGGUAUUGGGACACACAAUUUUGGUUUCAAUACUUUGGACUAAUGCCAAGUUAGUUGAUUUGAGCAGCAAAGCUGCAAUAACAUCUUUUUACAUCUUCAUAUGGAAGGUAUUGGGACACAAUUUUGGCUUCAAUACUUUGGACUAAUGCUAAGUCACUUGAUUUGAGUAGCAAAGUUGCAAUAACGUCUUUUUACAUGUUCAUAUGGAAGCCUCCUUCCAUCGGAUUGUCAGAUUUCUGCCUUCACGUCAGAUCCAAGUGUUGUCGAACCUCUGCAGUCCUUAGAUCCAGAUCUCCUUCUGACAACGAUUUCACUACAGGAUUCGACUUUGGCCUGAUCUCCUUCCACCAGUUUGUCUCGCACCGACGACUUCAGCUAUGUGACUUUGCAAUGCACCCCUCCGACAACAACACCUGAAGAAGAUGAAGCAAUACAGGAGACCAAGGAUUCAACUUGGGUUACUUUGUUUAAUUAUUUUUUAUUUUAAAAUGAAUUUAUAU